AUACGGAGGGAGCAAGCGUUAUUCGGAAUCACUGGGCGUAAAGGACGCGUAGGCGGGUUUGUAAGUCAGGUGUGAAAUCCUACAGCUCAGCUGUAGAACUGCACUUGAAACUACAGACCUAGAGUAUGGAAGGGGCAGAUGGAAUUAGUGGUGUAGGGGUAAAAUCCGUAGAUAUCACUAGGAAUACCGAAAGCGAAGGCGAUCUGCUGGGACAUUACUGACGCUGAGGCGUGAAAGCGUGGGGAGCAAACAGGAUUAGAUACCCUAGUAGUCC
rnacentral:rRNA from 1 species